AUUCCUCGUGAGGUUGGAGGAGAGGACAGGUUUGUGUAGCUGUCUGCAUUGGAGGGUAAUAUUGCCCUCUUCCUGUGAUCGUCUGUUGACUUUUGGAGUGUGGGACACUGAAUAACCCAGCAGAGAGAUAUCACCUGUGAGCAAGGAGCACUGCAGAUGCUGAAGUCCUCCCUCCCAAAUGCUGCUUUGUCAGCUGGUGCUGUCAUCGAGCCCUGGUCUCCUUCUCUGGAACUUGUCACCACCCUCAUCCAUGUGUCGCCUGGGGGGUGAAGGGCUCAGAAGACCUCAAAACCUUCCUGUUCUCUGGCCAGUGCCUCGGAGAUGAUGAUGUAGUCCCUAUGUGGGCCGCAGAAAGCACUUCGAGCCGUGCUGGAGUCGUGCUGGGUGGCUCUGAUAGCAGAGCUAAUGGGAGCGAAUGGGAUGCAACGAACUGUUCUAAUGACACCAGCCA